rnacentral:rRNA from 1 species
CAGCCGCCGCGGGAAAACGGAGAAUCCAAGCGUUAUCCGGAAUCAUUGGGUUUAAAGGGUCCGUAGGCGGUUUAGUAAGUCAGUGGUGAAAGCCCAUCGCUCAACGGUGGAACGGCCAUUGAUACUGCUGAACUUGAAUUAUUAGGAAGUAACUAGAAUAAGUAGUGUAGCGGUGAAAUGCUUAGAGAUUACAUGGAAUACCAAUUGCGAAGGCAGGUUACUACUAAUUGAUUGACGCUGAUGGACGUAAGCGUGGGGAGCAAAUGGGAUUAGAUACCCCCGUAGUCCCUGUCUCUUAUAA